UGUUUACAAAAUUAGGACCCUGC
rnacentral:miRNA from 1 species